UACGGAGGGUGCAAGCGUUGUUCGGAAUCACUGGGCGUAAAGCGCGUGUAGGCGGUCUGUUAAGUCAGGUGUGAAAUCCCCCAGCUUAACUGGGGAAUUGCGCCUGAAACUGGCAGGCUGGAGUGUCGGAGAGGGAAGGGGAACUCCCGGUGUAGAGGUGAAAUUCGUAGAUAUCGGGAAGAACACCGGUGGCGAAGGCGCCUUCCUGGACGAUAACUGACGCUGAGACGCGAAAGCGUGGGGAGCAAACAGG
rnacentral:rRNA from 1 species